rnacentral:tRNA from 2 species
GUCCCAGUACCUCAGUAGGAUAGAGGGUCCGCCUCCUAAGCGGAACGCCGCAGGUUCGACUCCUGUCUGGGACGCCA